UUCACAUUUUCUCAGCCAUGUUCGUCCAAUACUGGCCUACAAACAAAGGGAGCUAACACUUCGAGGCUUGCGAUGGUGUGGGGCUGUCAGCAAAUCAGAGACCCCAGUGGGCACUCAAAGGGAUUCCAUGGAGAUAUCUCAGAAUGGACAUUAACCCUUGUUCAGUCUACACAGAGGAAGGUCAACAAAAAGAAAAAGUUUCCUCCACACUUCUAAGUGAAAGAAGGGUCAAGCAAGUCCUUCGAAUUAUUCCAGCAUAGAUGGACUAACCGACAAAGGAAAGACUAGAGGAGCCAGAGGUUCCUCCAAUCCCAAGAGAUGAUUAACUAAGCAAGGAAGACAGACCCUCUCUGAACAAGCUGGCAUCAUCAAGUCAUGGGGAGAUCCAGAUGGAAGGAAGGGGAAGGACUCACAGGUACAGAUAUCAUGCUCUCUGCCUGUUUCCACCAUCUACCUCAUCACAGGCUUACAGCAAUGGAACUUCUGAAAUCCUGAGGAAAAAAUAAAACUUUUAAGCUGUUUCAGCUGUUUGUCAGAGUGAUGGCAUGUCUAAUACACUUG